rnacentral:rRNA from 1 species
AGAGUUUGAUCCUGGCUCAGGACGAACGCUGGCGGCGUGCCUCAAACAUGCAAGUCGAGCGUGGGUGGGCUUUCUCGCAAGAGAAGGCUCACUCUAGCGGCGAACGGGUGAGUAACACGUGGGAAACCUGCCCUCCAGACGGGGACAACCUCGGGAAACCGGGGCUAAUACCGGAUACGUUCGCCGGGUCGCAUGGCCUGGCGAGGAAAGGAUCGCAAGAUCGCUGGAGGAGGGUCCCGCGGCCUAUCAGCUAGUUGGUGGGGUAACGGCUCACCAAGGCGAUGACGGGUAGCUGGCCUGAGAGGGUGGUCAGCCACACUGGAACUGAGACACGGUCCAGACUCCUACGGGAGGCAGCAGUUGGGAAUCUUGGGCAAUGGGCGCAAGCCUGACCCAGCGACGCCGCGUGGGGGAUGAAGGCCUUCGGGUUGUAAACCCCUGUCAGGAGGGACGAAGCCGAAAGGUGACGGUACCUCCAGAGGAAGCCCCGGCUAACUACGUGCCAGCAGCCGCGGUAAGACGUAGGGGGCGAGCGUUGUCCGGAAUUACUGGGCGUAAAGCGCGUGCAGGCGGCCUGGUAAGUCCCGUGUGAAAGCCUACGGCUCAACUGUAGGAGGCCGCGGGAGACUGCCGGGCUGGAGGGCAGGAGAGGGAAGUAGAAUUCCCGGUGUAGCGGUGAAAUGCGUAGAUAUCGGGAGGAAUGCCGGUGGCGAANGCGGCUUCCUGGCCUGUCCCUGACGCUGAGACGCGAAAGCUGGGGGAGCGAACGGGAUUAGAUACCCCGGUAGUCCCAGCCGUAAACGAUGGUCACUAGGUGUUUGGG